AUUGAACGCUGGCGGCAGGCCUAACACAUGCAAGUCGAGCGGAUGAAGGGAGCUUGCUCCUGGAUUCAGCGGCGGACGGGUGAGUAAUGCCUAGGAAUCUGCCUGGUAGUGGGGGAUAACGUCGGGAAACGGGCGCUAAUACCGCAUACGUCCUGAGGGAGAAAGUGGGGGAUCUUCGGACCUCACGCUAUCAGAUGAGCCUAGGUCGGAUUAGCUAGUUGGUGGGGUAAAGGCCCACCAAGGCGACGAUCCGUAACUGGUCUGAGAGGAUGAUCAGGCACACUGGAACUGAGACACGGUCCGGACUCCUACGGGAGGCAGCAGAGGGGUAUAUUGGACAGUGGGCGAAAGCCUGAUCCAACCAUGCCGCGUGUGGUAAGAAGGUCCUCGGAUUGUAAAGCACUUUAAGUUGGGUGGAAGGGCAGUAAGAUAGUACCGUGCUUUUUUGACGUUACCAACAGAAUAAGCACCGGCUAACUUCGUG
rnacentral:rRNA from 1 species